AACAUCGCGCACCUGCGGGAACCUGCGGAGGGAUCAUUACAGAGUUCAUUGCAACUCCCAACCCUGUGGACCAUACCAAUUUUUGUUGUUGCUUCUGGCAGGCGGCCCCCCGGGGCCCCCCUGCCAGCGGCGACCUGCUCCAACCUUCUUUUGUACCUUUUACCGUCUGAGCUUCUAAAAAAAAAUACCUCAAAACUUUCAACAAUGGAUCU
rnacentral:misc_RNA from 1 species